rnacentral:rRNA from 1 species
CUUUGUCUAAAUUACCUUGUCGUUGCUUCGGCGGACCGGUUGACCAGCUGGUCUCGACCGCCGGGGGGGGCUUCACCCCCUGGAGAGCGUCCGCCGACGGCCCAACCACAAAACUCCUGUACCAA